AGAAAUUCUUCCAUAAUUUCCAUCAUCGGUAUCCCCAAGACUUUUUUGAAGAAAUCCUCUCAAUCCGGGUGGUAGACUCCAAAGCAAGGAGAGCCAAAUCAGAGAUUGGGGGGUGCAAGAUAGAUAUUUGGAUCAUCUACCAAUCUCCA